GGCAGCAGCAAGGAAUUUUGGGCAAUGGGCGAAAGCCUGACCCAGCAACGCCGCGUGAGGGAUGAAGGCCUUCGGGUCGUAAACCUCUUUUCUCAGGGAAGAAAAAAAUGACGGUACCUGGGGAAUAAGUCUCGGCUAACUACGUGCCAGCAGCCGCGGUAAUACGUAGGAGGCGAGCGUUAUCCGGAUUUAUUGGGCGUAAAGAGAGCGUAGGCGGUUUGUCAAGUCGGAUGUGAAAUCUCCCGGCUCAACUGGGAGGAGUCAUUCGAUACUGAUGGGCUAGAGUGCAGCAGGGGAAAACGGAAUUCCCGGUGUAGUGGUGAUAUGCGUAGAUACCGGGAGGAACACCAGAGGCGAAGGCGGUUUUCUAGGCUGUUUCUGACGCUGAGGCUCAAAAGCGUGGGGAGCGAACAGGAUUAGAUACC
rnacentral:rRNA from 1 species